UACGUAGGGUGCAAGCGUUAUCCGGAAUUAUUGGGCGUAAAGAGCUCGUAGGCGGUUUGUCACGUCUGCUGUGAAAACUGGAGGCUCAACCUCCAGCCUGCAGUGGGUACGGGCAGACUAGAGUGCGGUAGGGGAGAUUGGAAUUCCUGGUGUAGCGGUGGAAUGCGCAGAUAUCAGGAGGAACACCGAUGGCGAAGGCAGAUCUCUGGGCCGUAACUGACGCUGAGGCGCGAAAGCGUGGGGAGCAAACAGG
rnacentral:rRNA from 1 species